UGUCUUACAGUCCAUUAUAGGAAGCCUGUGAAUACAUAUCGAAAUCAAAGGAGUUAAGCUAAGUUAGUUAAGGAACGUAAGCGAAGCGAGCGAGAGGUGAGAUCUUUCCAUUAUAUACAUUUUAUAUUGACGGUAUUUUCCCGCGUGGUAAUACCACGUGGUGGACUCUCAUUUUUAUAAUUAAAUAUCAUCCAGCAAUUUACAUUUCUCCUAGUCAAUCAAUAAAUACAAUUAUUGAAUUCAUCCACGAAAAUUUAAUAACGUACACGCAAAAAGAUUACAAUACAAUUCCAAUGAUUUUAAGUGGGGAUUUUAAUGUUAAUUUUUCAUUAGCUACGGCUCUCCCUUUAAUUGAAUUCUUGAUCACAAAAUAAUAUUUAAAGAUGUGCAGCUGUCGCACUGAAUCUACAACAAGAUCAAAAACAGUCAUUGACGCUGUAUUUCAAAGAUAUAUUGAUACAAUGGAAACAAAAACAUUUAUUUCAUACUUUAGUUACCAUAAGCCACUCGUGUCAUUUCUUGAAACUGAGAACUUGGAGUCUGGAUAAAAUAUGAUGUAAUGUAUUUUUAUGUCACGGCCUAGGUUGCCUUCGAAGAAUAAAUUUCCUUUUUACGGACACAAAGAAGAUAUGGACAGUCAAGAAGUAGCAGCUAUCCCGUAACAAAACAAAAGUUAGAUUUUGUAAUUAUUUUGAAAGGGAGAUUGUAAAUCAAGGUUAUCUUUGAGAAGGACAUUUACGCGGAUACAAAGAAGAUAUGGACGGUCAAGAAGUAGCAGCUAUCCCAUAACAAAACAAAAUAUUAAGUUGAUACGCUGAGCAUGGAGAAUGGAAAUCUAAGUCAUCACUGAGAAGGGCAUUUACACGGAUACAAAGAAGAAAAAUACGGUGAAGGAGUUGAGUAUCUAAAUCGAGUUCGUCAUUAGAAUACGUAAUAUUCUAGGAGCUCUCCCUUUCGGGUGGAGAAAGUUAAAAGAAAAAGCAUCUUAAUUUCUGGUUCUGACGACCUCAUGGAGGUUUUAACGCCAUGGUUUUCCCUUCAGGCGGAAUGAACUUAAACUCCGGGUGAAUACCAGGUCGAUGUGUGGUGUGGAGGAGGCCAUGGCAAUGUAUGUCGCCUCUAUGCUGACUGUGCAGUACAAACACUAUUUGAUGCUGUAUACAUCGA